GAAAAACUGAAUACGAAUAGGGUACUUAGUAAUCAAGUUUGUUUUGAAAAUAUUUCCAUCUACAGCCUUGAAGUACUCCGUAUGUGGUGUCCAACUUUCUGGAGGGAAAAUGGCAGGGUUCAUUAUGCUUUUAUGGGCUCCUGUGUCUAGAAAGCCAAUAACAUUAAUGGGCCGCUCAUACUUGCUGGGCAGAAUGUGCAAUGGGACCAAUGGUAUGGGAAUGGUGUUUGGGCUAUGAGUG
rnacentral:misc_RNA from 1 species